AGCUGCGCGGUGAGCACAGAGCGAACUAUUCUUUCGCCUUUUACUAAAGAAUACCGUGUGCGCGCCGCACGUAGCAGCAUACGCCUAUUUUUGGAGGGUGCUCCCCCUUACCGUGAGGGCC
rnacentral:snRNA from 2 species